rnacentral:rRNA from 1 species
AUUGAACGCUGGCGGCAGGCCUAACACAUGCAAGUCGAGCGUGAAAGUUCCUUCGGGAGCGAGUAGAGCGGCGGACGGGUGAGUAACGCGUAGGAAUCUGCCCAGUAGUGGGGGACAACUCGAGGAAACUCGAGCUAAUACCGCAUACGCCCUAAGGGGGAAAGCAGGGGAUCUUCGGACCUUGUGCUAUUGGAUGAGCCUGCGUCGGAUUAGCUAGUUGGUGGGGUAAUGGCCUACCAAGGCAACGAUCCGUAGCUGGUCUGAGAGGAUGAUCAGCCACACUGGGACUGAGACACGGCCCAGACUCCUACGGGAGGCAGCAGUGGGGAAUAUUGGACAAUGGGGGCAACCCUGAUCCAGCCAUGCCGCGUGUGUGAAGAAGGCCUUCGGGUUGUAAAGCACUUUCAGCAGGGAGGAAAAGCUAAUGGCUAAUAACCAUUAGCCCUGACGUUACCUGCAGAAGAAGCACCGGCAAACUCCGUGCCAGCAGCCGCGGUAAUACGGAGGGUGCGAGCGUUAAUCGGAAUUACUGGGCGUAAAGCGCGCGUAGGCGGUUUGAUUAGCUGGAUGUGAAAGCCCCGGGCUCAACCUGGGAAUUGCAUCCAGAACUGUCAGACUAGAGUACAGUAGAGGUGAGUGGAAUUUCCUGUGUAGCGGUGAAAUGCGUAGAUAUAGGAAGGAACAUCAGUGGCGAAGGCGGCUCACUGGACUGAUACUGAC